GCGUGAGUGAAGAAGGCCUUAGGGUUGUAAAACUCUUUCACCCGUGAAGAUGAUGACGGUAGCGGGAGAAGAAGCUCCGGCUAACUCCGUGCCAGCAGCCGCGGUAAUACGGAGGGGGCUAGCGUUGCUCGGAAUUACUGGGCGUAAAGCGCACGUAGGCGGUGCACCUAGUCAGGCGUGAAAGCCCCGGGCUUAACCCGGGAACUGCGCUUGAUACUGGUGCGCUAGAAUCCGAGAGAGGGUAGUGGAAUUCCCAGUGUAGAGGUGAAAUUCGU
rnacentral:rRNA from 1 species